rnacentral:rRNA from 1 species
UACGGGGGGAGCAAGCGUUGUCCGGAAUUAUUGGGCGUAAAGAGCUUGUAGGCGGUUUGUCGCGUCUGCUGUGAAAAUCCGGGGCUCAACCCCGGACUUGCAGUGGGUACGGGCAGACUAGAGUGUGGUAGGGGAGACUGGAAUUCCUGGUGUAGCGGUGAAAUGCGCAGAUAUCAGGAGGAACACCGAUGGCGAAGGCAGGUCUCUGGGCCACUACUGACGCUGAGAAGCGAAAGCGUGGGGAGCGAACAGG